UUAAAUACCUGUGGGGCGGGAAGUCGGGCGGAGUCUAAAGGCCAGGGCGCUGCCGCCCCGGAGUAGGAAAGGGCCGAGAGUAAGGCCAGGGACUAUCAGAGCCUGAGUCUCCACCCAUAGCAAAUGGCAUCUGUACUGGAAGCCUCUGCAUAUUAGUGCAGGGCGGGGAUGGAUAGAUGAAUGAAGGCAACGCUGAUAUGACAAGAUAUAGAAGAGCAGAAGGCAAGAAGGGGAUGCAGCUCAGUGACUUCUGGUAGGCGACUUUUGGCUUCAAAACCCUGAAAACUGUGUCCUAGACCACCCCGACACUACCAUUUUCUGAACAUCUUCCCAUAAAGAAUAAUGAAUAUUGAACACCAGGAUACCAAAAAAGCUCAUCUAAUCUACUCAAGUAUCACUGUGUACUCUGUUUCAAGAUGCAAAUGAAGUGGGGAUUUUCCUAUGCUGGACAGAGUGUACAGUUACCUGGCCAUGAGGUCUUGGGUCAUUGCUGAAGGGAGAUUCAUGAGGAUGCCAGACUUAAGGAAUGCCUGGCCAGCAAAAGGCCUGAGUAAAUGAGAAAAGAACCAAAGUAAUUAAGAUUCUUGAGCUGAAGGGGAUUGUAACCCCAUAGGAAAAACAACAGUAUCAACUAACCUGACCACCAGAGCGUCCAGAGAUUAAACUAACAACAAAAGAGUACACGUGGAGGUACCCAUGGCUCCAGCUACAUACAUAGCAGAAAUUAUCCUACUGAAUAGACCAUGAGCUACUUGGAGACAGAAUUGGAGAAGAUACAGUCUCUGGUCUCAGUAUGGAUGUGUAAGCAGGUGAAAUACGUUAUGACAUUUCCCUGUCUAAUUCUUCGCUGGAGUACACAAGAAUCUGCAUACUUUGGCCUGUGGCUUGGGACUUCAGAUCCACGUCUUUAAGACCUGGUGAGCCAGCCAGAAGAAAGAGCUGAAGGUGCCCCAUGGCCAGAUCCAAGUGUAUGCCUGGACUCUCUUCUGCUUCUCCAUAUUGGGAUAUAAGUCCAGCAAAAGAAGUAACCAUUGGCCAAGGACAGAUGCCGAGACCAUCAUUAAAAUUGAGAAGCAGCGCUGGAGAGAUGAUUCAGCAGUUAAGAGCACUUGCUGUUCUUACAAAGGGCCUGUCUGGAUUUCAUUCCCGGUGCCCACAUGGAAGCUCACAGUUGUCUGUAAUUCCAGUUCCAAGGAAUCUGUCACACUCUUCUGACUUCCUUGGGCACAAGCAUACACGAGAUGUAUACUCAUAUGUAGGCAAAAUAUUCAUACACAUAUGACAAAAUAAAUCUAAAAUAUUGACAUAGAUUUAGAGUUUUAGUAUUUUAAUCAAAUAUUCAUUUAGAUGAGUUUAUCAUACACCUUCAAGGUGCAUCAGUUGCAAGGUACUUAAGUUUCAAAUUGUAGCAUCACUCCAAAUAAAGCUGAGAUUAUGCCACUCCAAACUCAAAUUUAAGUGAACAACUGUAUGCAUUUCAACAUGUUGGCUAAACAUGCCCUGUGAAAAGUGAAAAUAUGUAGCCCAGUUUUUCGAUCUGGAACCAGAAUUUGAAAACCAAUUUCAAGAUUUCCAGGAAAAGUAAUUAAUAUUUUAAUAUAUUUGCAACUCCAUUUUAAGCUCACAGAAAUAUGCCAAAUACCAAUUUUCAAGCAGAAUGCACAGAGAUGCAAUCUGACAUUUAACCUAAGGAUAAACUUGGUUAGGUCUCUUUACUCAGCUUGCCUGGAUCCUGUCUCUUCAGACACAAUUAUCCCGCCAUUCCCAGUCACAGUCUGUUCACGUCAUCACUGGUUGGCAGCUCUUUCAUUUGUGAGCAAGUAUGGAACCAGGUUAUCCUUGAACUCAGUGGUAGGCCUUGCUCUGCAGGGAUUAAAGGCGAGUGCCACCGUGGCCCAGCUGGGCAAGUAUGUUUGAGAAUGAGGCACAUGUAGUAAAAUUAGAACCCAGACACUUGACAAGCACCUGCCAGCAUGCUCAGAAUCACGAUUAUUCUUCCAUGGAAGCAGCUAUUGACACAUUAGAUCCCAAGAGAGAUACCAGAUUGUGGCCAUCUUUGUUUUACUUAAUUAAAAAUAGUUUUGAAAAAUGAA
rnacentral:sRNA from 1 species